GAUGAAGAACGUAGCGAAAUGCGAUAAGUAAUGUGAAUUGCAGAAUUCAGUGAAUCAUCGAAUCUUUGAACGCACAUUGCGCCCAUUAGUAUUCUAGUGGGCAUGCCUGUUCGAGCGUCAUUAAGUCCACUUAAGCCCUGCUUAGUGUUGGGAGACUGCUCCAGCGGUGCUACCCUGUAGCUACCCUGCAGCUCCUCAAAGACAGCGGCGGAGUUGUGGUAUCCUCUGAGCUUAGUAACUUGUUCUAGCUUUCGAAUACACCACUUCCCCUGCCGUAAAACCCUUAAUUUUUAAUGGUUGACCUCGGAUCAGGUAGGAAUACCCGCUGAACUUAAGCAUAUCAAUAAGCGGAGGA
rnacentral:misc_RNA from 1 species